UACAGAGACCUCGAACGUUGUCCGGAUUUAUUGGGCGUAAAGGGUCCGCAGGUGGCCGUGCGCGUCGGGAGUCAAAUGUCGAGGCUCAACUUCGACACUGCUCUCGAUACGGCAUGGCUAGAGGCCGGGAGAGGUGCACGGAAUUGCCGGUGUAGUAGUAAUAUGCGUUAAUAUCGGCAAGAACACCAAAUGCGAAGGCAGUGCACUGGAACGCGCCUGACACUCAGGGACGAAAGCGUGGGGAG
rnacentral:rRNA from 1 species